rnacentral:rRNA from 1 species
CGCGUAGGCGGCAGUGUAAGUCAGAUGUGAAAUACUCCGGCUCAACCAGAGAACAGCAUCUGAAACUGCACAGCUAGAGUACAGAAGAGGGAAACGGAAUUCCCGGUGUAGAGGUGAAAUUCGUAGAUAUCGGGAGGAACACCAGUGGCGAAGGCGGUUUCCUGGUCUGAUACUGACGCUGAGGCGCGAAAGCGUGGGGAGCAAACA